rnacentral:other from 1 species
UAUAUCCUGGGAUACUCGUUAAAGGAAACAUAAAAGAACCUACACUAGCGCAACGGGAGCCCGUGUCGUUUAAGCAUUAUGCCAGGCCUCCAUCGAGUGGAAGGCAGAAGCUUAGGUGCAGGGCACCCACCUAUCGGUUGAUAGGGCGUCUUUUAUAUCCUUGACGGUACUCCGGGAUUUUC